rnacentral:rRNA from 1 species
AGUGCCGAAACCAUUUUUUCCGAAUAGGGGAGCCGGAGGGAAACCGAGUCUUAAUUGGGCGUUAAGUUGCAGGGUAUAGACCCGAAACCCGGUGAUCUAGCCAUGGGCAGGUUGAAGGUUGGGUAACACUAACUGGAGGACCGAAC